rnacentral:lncRNA from 1 species
UCGGAAACAGACAACACAUUCAUCGGAAAACCCAUAAGACUCCAAGAGGUGUAGGACUCUUGAUAAAGACUGGAUGUAUGAAGUAUCAGCAUAUAAUGAUAAAGUAUCAGCAUAUAAUGUCAAAGUAAGAUAUAACAACAGCUACGGCGUUCCAUACAAGUUGAUAAUCAAUUAAUACGUUAGUAGGUAAAAUGCCCACGCAAGUAACAAUGCACACUUGAAUUUCCAAGUUUCAAUUUGAUCUGUUAGAGAUCUUCAGAAAAAUCAUUCUUCACUACUUUAACUUUUUGUACAUGAAUAAACCAAACAGCAG